rnacentral:lncRNA from 1 species
GGAGACUGCAGCAGCAUAAGCUCCCGCUGACCAAGGCCACUGCCCAGCGACCUGCUCCCACCUAUCUGCCACAAAGGCCAAAGCUCAGCUUCCAAUGUGGCUCGUUCCUGGAGGAGGCCAGCUGACCGCUUGGUGGCAAAUAGGCCACACUGAGCUCCUUCCAUCCUGGAAAGGCCAGCAGCUCACUUGGAGGGGAAGAUAUUCCAAGCCUGGGUUUGCCUUUCCCACCCGCCUACCCAACCUCCACCAGCAACACGGUCUGCGAUCUCCCCUGUGUUUCAUCCCCUGACUCGGGCCCCCUCUGACCAUCACAGCAGAGGAGGUGGGGCAGGCCCACAAGCACAGGCCUCGGGCCAGAUCACACGACACCCACUCGGAAACUGGAGUCAACAGAGAGCCGCAGCUGCUCGUACCGGGCAAGUCUCUGCGGGGUGGGACCCUGUCCCAGGACGCAGGAUUGGCGCUGAGCUCGGGAUCUCUGUGUGCACCUGCAUCGCUGGUAGGAGGACGCCCAGGAACCAAGGAGUGAGGCAGGAGCAGCCCCCGGCAUCAUCACUCCCAGUGACCCAGGAAGGGAUUUGUGCUUUUUUCCCUGCGGCUCUGGGCACUGCAGAGUUAGAGGUCCUGGUCCCCGGGGAUGGAGGGAGGGGGUAUAUCAGCGGGCACAGAGCAUGUCCAGUGACGCACAAACCACGGCUGCCCUCUGGUGCGUCGGGUUCCUUGUGGGGGGAUCACCAGGCAGGAGAGAGCACCACCGUCCUGGCAGAUCUGGAAACUGGACGGCCCCAAACUGAGUCCAAGUCCUGCAUCUGCCAGUCGUGUGAACUUGGGCAUGAGAACGCCCUUCUCUCUGCAAGAAGAUGCCCGCCCUUACCAAGGUGACUUCCAAGGACUUCAGGAACCUGAAACCUCGUCCUUGAUCGACUCGUGGUGUUGAAGGCCCUGCCAAAGCCAGCCUGGCACUGCUCUCUGGGAUGGAGACGGGAGAUGGCAUUCCGGGUCUAAAUUCUCGUGGGUGGUUCUCAGCUGUCAGGAGGUGCCAGGCUUACCUGCCAGGACCGUGGUUUUCUGUCAUUGUAACUGUGGGAAUGGCUAAGUCCUGUCUAUGACAGUCACACGAAAUAAAGUGUUCUGUGCUCCAGG